UACGUAGGGGGCAAGCGUUGUCCGGAAUUACUGGGCGUAAAGGGCUCGUAGGCGGCCAACUAAGUCGGACGUGAAAUCCCUCAGCUUAACUGGGGAACUGCGUCCGAUACUGGAUGGCUUGGAUUUGGGAGAGGGAUGCGGAAUUCCAGGUGUAGCGGUGAAAUGCGUAGAUAUCUGGAGGAACACCGGUGGCGAAGGCGGCAUCCUGGACCAAUAUUGACGCUGAGGAGCGAAAGCCAGGGGAGCAAACGGG
rnacentral:rRNA from 1 species